rnacentral:rRNA from 1 species
CCUACGGGGGGCUGCAGUGAGGAAUAUUGGUCAAUGGGCGCGAGCCUGAACCAGCCAAGUAGCGUGAAGGAUGACUGCCCUACGGGUUGUAAACUUCUUUUAUAAAGGAAUAAAGUGAGGCACGUGUGCCUUUUUUUAUGUAUUUUAUGAAUAAGGAUCGGCUAACUCCGUGCCAGCAGCCGCGGUAAUAAGGAGGAGUCGAGCGUUAUCCGGCUUUAUUGGGUUUAAAGGGAGCGUAGAUGGGUUGUUAAGUCAGUUGUGAAAGUUUGCGGCUCAACCGUAAAAUUGCAAUUGAUACUGGCAGUCUUGAGUACAGUUGAGGUAGGCGGAAUUCGUGGUGUAGCGGUGAAAUGCAUAGAUAUCACGAAGAACCCCGAUUGCGAAGGCAGCUUACUAAACUGUGACUGACAUUGAUGCUCGAAAGUGUGGGUAUCAAACAGGAUUAGAUACCCGAGUAGUC